CCCUUAGAUGUCCUGGGCCGCACGCGUGCUACACUGACGCCUACAGCGAGUACUUCCCAGCCCCGAGAGGCGGCUGGUAAUCAGCAAUAGGCGUCGUGAUGGGGAUAGAUCUUUGGAAUUCUGGAUCUUGAACGAGGAAUGCCUAGUAAGCGCAGGUCAUUAGCCUGCGCUGAUUACGUCCCUGCCCUUUGUACACACCGCCCGCCGCUCCUACCGAUUUCGAGUGGUCCGGUGAAUCUUUCGGACUGCGCGCAGCUUCGUGCCGUGUCGCGGAAAGUCAGGUAAACCUAAUCACUUAGAGGAAGGACAAGUCGUAACA
rnacentral:rRNA from 1 species